UACGUAGGGUGCGAGCGUUAAUCGGAAUUACUGGGCGUAAAGCGUGCGCAGGCGGCUUUGCAAGACAGAUGUGAAAUCCCCGGGCUUAACCUGGGAACUGCAUUUGUGACUGCAUGGCUGGAGUGCGGCAGAGGGGAUGGAAUUCCGGCGUGUAGCAGUGAAAUGCGUAGAUAUGCGGAGGAACACCGAUGGCGAAGGCAAUCCCCUGGGCCUGCACUGACGCUCAUGCACGAAAGCGUGGGAGCAAACAGG
rnacentral:rRNA from 1 species